UACGGGGGGGGCAAGCGUUGUUCGGAAUUACUGGGCGUAAAGGGCUCGUAGGCGGCCAACUAAGUCGGACGUGAAAUCCCCAGGCUCAACCUGGGAACUGCGUCCGAUACUGGAUGGCUUGAAUUCGGGAGAGGGAUGCAGAAUUCCAGGUGUAGCGGUGAAAUGCGUAGAUAUCUGGAGGAACACCGGUGGCGAAGGCGGCAUCCUGGACCGGCAUUGACGCUGAGGAGCGAAAGCCAGGGGAGCAAACGGG
rnacentral:rRNA from 1 species